rnacentral:rRNA from 1 species
GACGAACGCUGGCGGCGUGCUUAACACAUGCAAGUCGAACGGUGAAGCGCCUUCCUUUUUGGUGGGUGUGGAUGAGUGGCGAACGGGGGAGUAACACGUGAGUAACCUGCCCCCUUCUUCUGGAUAACCGCAUGAAAGUGUGGCUAAUACGGGAUAUUCUGAGUCUGUCGCAUGAUGGGUCUGGGAAAGAUAUUGUUUCGGUGGGGGAUGGGCUCGCGGAGUAUCAGCUUGUUGGUGUGGUGAUGGCCUACCAAGGCGAUGACGGGUAGCCGGCCUGAGAGGGUGGGCGGCCACACUGCGGCGGCGCCGCGGACCCGCCUCCUACGGGAGGCAGCAGGGGGGAUUAUUGCACAGUGGGCGCCAGCCUGAUGCAGCGACGCCGCGUGGGUGAUGGAGGUCUUCGGGUUGUGAACCCCUUUCGCCAGUGAAGCAGGCCUGCCUCGUUUGUGGGUGGGUUGACGGUAGCUGGAUAAGAAGCGCCGGCUAACUACGUG